GAAACUUAAUACUUUUUCGUUCUUAGCCACUGAACAUCAGAAUAAUGAUUACAAUAUUACUACACAACAUUGCCGACUCGAAGAACCAACAAAAAAGUAUUACAUUACGUUAUUAUCUAUGAUGUUACCAUGGAAACCCUGGACCCCCGAAGAAAAUGUUACCGGGGCCCCAUUUGUACGUAUUCCCGUCCCAUUCCCAACCACAUGGGCGCGGCCAUAGCAGGACUUCACGCCGACAAGGCGUUUUGAAGCCUGUUUUGUGAGAUUCUUUGAUUGAGC